GCCAGUGUAGCAUAUUGGUUUGAGGGUUGGACUGGGACUCUGGAGACCAGGGUUCGAUUCCCCACUUGGCCA